GAUGAACGCUGGCGGCGUGCUUAACACAUGCGAGUCGAACGGAAAGGCCCAAGCUUGCUUGGGUACUCGAGUGGCGAACGGGUGAGUAACACGUGGGUGAUCUGCCCUGCACUUCGGGAUAAGCCUGGGAAACUGGGUCUAAUACCGGAUAGGACCACUUCUUGGAUGUUGUGGUGGAAAGUUUUUUCGGUGUGGGAUGAGCUCGCGGCCUAUCAGCUUGUUGGUGGGGUAAUGGCCUACCAAGGCGUCGACGGGUAGCCGGCCUGAGAGGGUGUACGGCCACAUUGGGACUGAGAUACGGCCCAGACUCCUACGGGAGGCAGCAGUGGGGAAUAUUGCACAAUGGGCGCAAGCCUGAUGCAGCGACGCCGCGUGGGGGAUGACGGCCUUCGGGUUGGAAACUCCUUUCGCUAGGGACGAAGCGUUUUGUGACGGUACCUGGAGAAGAAGCACCGGCUAACUACGUG
rnacentral:rRNA from 1 species